rnacentral:lncRNA from 1 species
AGGAUAAAUCCUUAGGGAAAAAAAGCACAAAAGAGAAAAGGGGGAGCAAAGGGCAAAUGGGCUGAAGUGGCUCAGCAGGAACCUGAAGAUUGACCUGCAGGAAGCGGAGUCUAAAUGCAAGUAGAGUCCAGGCUCCCAGGAAGCAGGAGGGAAAGAAACCUGAUUACUAUCAUACACUGCUCAGCAGCCCCUGUCUCCCUUCCCAUAUAUGCCAGGGGAAUACUUUCAGCAACUGUUUUGUAAAUGCAAGUUUUUUAGUAGUUCUGUAAACAUUUUUAAGGAGAGAAUCCCACCUAAUUCCAUGUUUUAAGCAUAAAUGCUUUUUUUAAAAGAGGUGAAAUCAUUUGCUAGUUGUUUUUUGGUAUAUAUUUUAUGAGAGGCUUUGACUGUCUUGGGUGCUAGGCUGGGUGGACAGUUUUCAUAUCCUACAGCACAAAGCAUACUGACUGGC